rnacentral:rRNA from 1 species
GAUGAACGCUGGCGGCGUGCCUAAUACAUGCAAGUCGAGCGAACGGACGAGAAGCUUGCUUCUCUGAUGUUAGCGGCGGACGGGUGAGUAACACGUGGAUAACCUACCUAUAAGACUGGGAUAAAUUCGGGAAACCGGAGCUAAUACCGGAUAAUAUUUUGAACCGCAUGGUUCAAAAGUGAAAGACGGUCUUGCUGUCACUUAUAGAUGGAUCCGCGCUGCAUUAGUUAGUUGGUAAGGUAACGGCUUACCAAGGCAACGAUGCAUAGCCGACCUGAGAGGGUGAUCGGCCACACUGGAACUGAGACACGGUCCAGACUCCUACGGGAGGCAGCAGUAGGGAAUCUUCCGCAAUGGGCGAAAGCCUGACGGAGCAACGCCGCGUGAGUGAUGAAGGUCUUCGGAUCGUAAAACUCUGUUAUUAGGGAAGAACAUAUGUGUAAGUAACUGUGCACAUCUUGACGGUACCUAAUCAGAAAGCCACGGCUAACUACGUG